ensembl:lncRNA
UUUCAUUUCUUGGAGGGCUUGAUUUAUUUGCUUUUAUUGUCUUCCAGAAGGUUUCAUGUGUUACAUUUCCAAAAUUCUUUCAUGUUUGAGAACAUCUCCCUGUUGCCCAUAUUCCAAAACCAAUGUGUCUGGCUGUAAUAUAUUUUGAUAUAUUAUAAUUGUUUUACCUUCAGGGUAUCAUAGGCUUAGUAUGUUAAGUCUGAAACCAACCUGAUUCACUUCCUUUUAAGACUGGAUAUCAGCUGUCACCUGACUCUUCUUUCUGUUGUUCGGACACGACUGAGCGACUGAACUGAACUGAACUGAAUUGGAGGUUAAUUACUUUACAAUAUUGUAUUGGUUUUGCCAUACAUCAACAUGAAUCUGCCACAGAAUUUUCCUUUAAUCAAUAACCUUGUACCAAGGGGAGUGUUGCUUUGGGGAAGAUCAAAGAAGGGCAUCAAGUAUCAACUGAUACAUGGAUGACCAGUUUUCAGAUGAAAGAGCACAAGAUCAUCCUGACAAUAUAGUACCCAUAUCUCUGGCCAAAUAAGAGCAGAAGAGUGUAGGACAGAGGGUGCAACAGCAGAUAACUUGGUGAGUAGGACUGUCAUUGAAACUGUGGUCACAACGAAAGCAACUUCAAAUGGUUUGACUCUUUCUUGGCCUGAGUAGGUUAUGGACUAAGAGUUUAAUUUUUUCAAAAUCUGUUCUCAGGCUUGCAUGAGCUUGUUUUUAUACAUUUC